CGCCCUGCCGCCGGCGUGCCCGCCACCGACCCGAGCAUGGCGUACUACUAUGUCCCCCAGCAGUAAUGUAUCAUCCUAAACUUGCGCAUUUCUAAGCCGAGAAUGUGUUGUUCUGUGACUGUCCUUGAUGCUGUUGUUGUCGCGGUGUAAUAAGAAGAUUUAUGGGCCUCCCCUGAGCUUAUGAAUUCAGCUGUUUGGUUCUAGCAUGUUUGUAGGAUUGUUGUAAUGGGGGAGGCCGUAUGAUUGCUGCGGUAGUGCAUGAUUAACUGGCCGCCUAGUGUAAUCUGAUGACCAUUAUGCAGUGCCUCUCAUGGCUACUAUGUAUUUAUGUUCUUCAUUUUCGCCGUGCACUAGUUUUUUGUUGUUCUAUGGCAGCGUUGUGCUGUGAUUACUGCAUAUUAGGUUGCAAGGUUCUCCCAAUGCUUUCAAGCAAGGCUUGUUGUAAUUAAGCCUUGGAAGCAAAAUGUGGAAACUACAGAUAAACUGACUGUAAUAUUGGACUGACGUAGGUUCUUGCUUCAUAUUGGUGUGGUAAUAAGAUAGUGUGGAUACAAGUAUAGCUUCCUUCAUUUUUUAAAGCUAGAUUUACUUUUAAACAUUCUUGCUUUAAUAACCCAAAAUGUUCUCUCAUGUUUGUUUUCAAGCAAGAUCUACUUCUGAACAUUGAAAUUCAAAUGCAAGAAUUAUGUAUAGCUUCUUAGAUUUUUUUUGUUUUCUUAUUUUUGCAUCCUUUUGAGAAUUCACUUGUUCAGCUCAACAGAUGACCCAACAUAUGUAUCAUAUCUUUGCGAUAUGUUUGCAAUUCUAGCGGUACAUCCUCAGGGCACUAUUAGUGCAAAUAACUGUUGGCUGCAAUGGAGAAAUUUAUAAUUGGAAUUACAUUCUGUAUUUUCUUAGUUCAGAAUCAAGUUCUGUAAUGUAGUGUGUAUCUCUUUGGCCUAUGGACCACUGACUACUUCAGAAAUAAUCGAGCCAUUUUCACCAAAUUAGAGUAACAUGUGUCCUAUUCCGGCAAGUUUGUGAAAUCUUGCUGUUACCCACUAUACUAAUAUGAUAAGUGUUACAAUUAUGCAUAGUAUGUGAUCANNNNNNNNNNNNNNNNNNNNNNNNNNNNNNNNNNNNNUGUUGAGAAUUGCUGAGGCGUAUCAAAAAGGUCAUAUGUUUAACGAGCAGCUUUACAGUCUAUUUGCAAUACUAGUUGUACAUCCCUAGUAGGACACAAGUAAUGCGAAUAACUGGAGGCUACAAGGGAGAAAUUUACAACUGGAUAUACUCCCUCCGUUCCUAAAUAUAAGUCUCUUUAGAGAUUCCACUAGAGGACUAUGGGGGUGUUUGGUUGGGCUUUCAGCCAGCUUCCGGCUUCCAGCUUCGAAGCCAAAAGCUCCUAUUUAGGGGCUUCCAGCUGCAGCUGUGGCUUUCGGCUGCGGCUGUGACAAGGCCGAAAGCCACACCUGCAACCGGAAGCCCCUAAAUAGGAGCUUUUGGCUUAGAAGCCGGUAGACGGAAGCUGGCUGGAAGCCCAACCAAACACCCUUUAUAUACUGAGCAAUAUGAGUGAAUCUACAAUUUAAUGUAUAUCUAUAUACAUCCGUAUGUUGUUUUCUAAUGGAAACUCUUAAAAGACUUAUAUUUAGGAACGGAGGGAGUAAUAGAUUUCUGAGUUCCAAAUUUAUAACUGGAGUAGUAGUAGUUGUGUGGACUUUUUGUGGCCUAUGGACCACUACUUUGGUAUUGCUCCAUUUCAGUAAAUUGGAGGAGUAGCAUGAGUCCUCUUCCACCAAAUCUGUGCAAGCUUGUGGUUGCCUAUAUAACAUGACUAGUAGUACUUCCUCCGUCCAGAAUUAGAUGUGAGUGAUAGAUAUAUCUGUAGCGACAACUAAUUUCGGAUGGAGGGAGUAUUAUUUAUAACAGUGCACGGGCAGUAGAUGUUUUGGAUAUUUGAAUAUGGAUACAUAAGGACUGAAAUGGAUGAACAAACACACUAAAACAUUUCUAUAUACAUCUGAUUCAAAAAAUAAAUCGUAUAUUUGUGAACAGAGGGAGUAGCAUUUUUAAACUGUAUUAUUUGGAACACUUGCCACAAUGCUCUAGCUAUGUUCAGUUCGGUCCUCCAGCCGGGGUUGUUUUCAGUCCGGAUGUGUUUGGUUCCUCGCAAUGAUUUUGUCGCGCUUGCGCUUGUGGUCUGAUAGAGCCUAGCUGAGUUCAUGCAGCCUCUGAAUCAUGUUCUACAGUUUGUUUGGUGGAACACAAGCACAACCUUCGAUUGCAAGUCUGUGUUCCUCCAGAUGCACCGUGUUGUUGUUUGGUUCCGUGCAAGACAUGUCGCUGUGAUAACCUUUGCUUUGAGUGGUGAUGUUACAGACAUAGACAGUCAUAAGCAUAACAUAGUGUCAACACAACAAAGAACAUGGAUUAAACCAUAUUGAACAACUAUACGCAUAAUAGUGGCGCACACGGUCAUACACAUUAACAACAUUCAUACAAGUUCAGGAACCACACACUAACGAAGUGAUUAUAAAGCACCCACUCAUCGACCAUGGCAAGUACUUGCUCGUGGUGCCGCACUUGAUAACCUUCUCUUCAAAACUUCGAAGGAGAGAUCGAAAACGGUGACCUUGAAAGCAUAAUGUGUGACGACCUUGAAGGUUAUGAAAUACUCGAUCUGCAGUUGGUGUGCUAUAGCAAAGGUGGGCCACCCUUAAUCCAUGGCAACCCUCCAUACAUGAAUCUUUCUAGGAAUAUAUUUAUUGUGUCAACUUUUUUAAAACACAUACUUCAGUUUUAGUAUACACUAGGAACCUUUUUCUAUACACAUGUAUAAUAUUUUCCAAAUACGUGAUUAACAUUUUUUCUAAAUAUCUAUUUUUCAUGUCAAUUCUUUUGUACACGUUGCACCUUUCUGUAUAGAUUCAACCCAUUUCUGUACACAUGUUUAACAUUUUAAAAAUACAUGAUUAAAUAUUUAAAGAAGUAUAUUUUUUUAUGUUUACUUUCUUGCAUGCACAUUCUAUAUUUUUGUAUACACCAAGAAAAAUAAUCAUACACGUGUACCAUUUUUUUAAUAUAUGAUAUUUUUCAUAUAUAUGUUUUUUUAUGUCUACUGUUUUUUUCAUAUAAGACAUUGUACAUUUUUUGUGUACACCAAAAACAUUUUUAUACACUCGUACCAAGUUUUGAAAUACAUGAUUAACAUUUAUAUGUUUUCAUGUAUAUAUUUUUCUUACACAAUGUACAUUUUUUGUAUACAUCAGAAAUAUUUCCCAGUUUUCAAAUGCAUGGUAUUUUUUUUAAUAUUGUAUGUAAAGUGAUUUUGUUAAUAGAUAUACUUAAACUAUUCAAAGUAUAAGCAAAAGUAUAAAAUUGAAGUAAAAAUGUGGUGAACACCGAGAGAGGAAAUGACUGCUCAAAACUUUUAGUGCCAGAUAGGUCAAACUAUUAUAGCAGUUGCUUUGACGCGAGGUUACGCUACACCUCACUAUAAGCAAGACAUAGUCGCGCCCGUCGGGGAUUGGAAUAGUAUAUAGAGAGGGGGGGUGGAUGUUAGGCAAGCUCCAUACGGCCCAAAUUCACAUUUCUGGCAAACCCAAAAUCUCUGUAUUGAAGAAGUUACAAAAAUCCCAACAACUCCUCUCUUUUUGUAAAAGAGAAAACAACUCCCCUUUCACUAGUAAAAUAUUGUUGAUUACCACCAACUUGUACAUCUUGUUUUAUUGUCAUCGUUAAUUGUGUUGUAUAAUUAAGAUAAGGUUGUCUUAUCAACCACUUUACACCCCGUCCAAAAAAACUAAUUAUUGAAAAAGAUUUUUCGGAUACUGGGUAUUAAUGGAAAGUUUCUUGCUCAUCUUCACUCCAUUCUUUAGAAUUGUUUCAACCCGCCUAUGUGGCACUAUGAAUUUAUAAGGAGUAGGGGUGGUUGUCAUAUUACCACAACACAAAGCUUAGUUCCCAUAUCGCCACGAAAACUUCAAAUGCAAGUAAAUUUAUGAUUAUGUACAUUCUUGCUUUAUUUUCGGGACUCGCUUACGUAAGGCCUCUUUGCAUUUUAUUUUGGACAAGUUGAUUUUCUAGGCGAUUCGAUUAAGAUCAACGUUUGAUCAAUGUUGGUCCUUCCUUCUUGCCAUUAGGACAUAGAAAAUGCUUCAUUAGGGUUUCAUGUCUCUUACGAUUAUGGGGGCAAUGCACCUCUAACUGUCGUCGUCGCCGGUUCCUUGUCUGGAGGCUGAUGUUAAUGUUGUCGUAUGUGCCCUUCGGGUGCAUUACAGUUAUGUUGCGGCCUCCCCCCCCCCUACCAUCGGGCUGCCAUGGACAUGGCGGUUCGCCGUCAAUUUGAUGUGCAAGCCAUCACAAGAGAGUUUGGAUGACGGUCAUUGUCGGGAGUUCGUGAUUAAUGCAACCCUAAUCCCUUCCUCCAAGGCAAGCCCAUCAAAUCUCUACUAUUUAGCAAUCCCGAAGGAGGCCACGAAGGAACACCAAAAAACAGGCGACCCACCAGAUCAAACCCAAUCGCAUGUUAUCAUGUAACUAUCACCCUACUACCGCGAGGGGCAAAUUUCGGUAGUAGAAACUUGCACAUCCUAUGAACACAAUUAGCAGUAGAAGAGGAAGCAAUACUUCCGCUUGCUACUACCGUGCUACUGUUGUGAGUGUUGUGACGACAACAGAAACUUCAAUAAAACCUAAAACGUAAGCGGAAGUGCACACGGUCAGUGGCGAUUCUACUAGGCAUGCUUCAACGGGCUCAAACUUGCCCUCUGAAAUUGAAAAACAAAAAUUUACUACUAGUUCCAAGCCCAUCUCAGCCCAAUGUCUAGUGUCUAGCCUGUUGUUUACUCGUUCCAACCCUUGUACUGAGAAGUUGAGCUUGCCCUUCAUUUUCAUCCAAGAUUCGCCACUGCACGCGGUUGUAGGUAGCAAAAAUAGCGCGCAAGCGAUACUACCGUGCUAUUGCCGCUAGUGUGGUAGGAGGGCAACAGAAACAUACACACGGUUUCUGCGCAGACGGUAGUGGCCCGCAGUAGCUCACAAUGGAAGUACAACCCAAGCGGUACUACCGCCUAUGUGUAGCAAAAGUGCGUGAAGCACAACAAUUGGAUCCUCCAAGUUUCGGGAAGGGUAUUUGGGUGCAUAUGAGUUUGUGUACGUGUUGAUUCCACAUAAACCAUUUUAAAGCGGACCACCUCUUAAUAGUAUGGAUUACCUAUGACUCAGAUCGACUCAAAAGAAACACCGGAAAAUCGUCUUUCUCUUUCUUCCGACGAGGGGAAUAAAACCGUCUUGUGCCAUAUGAGAGAAUAUUUGAAAUGCUUAAUGCACAUGGCUAGUCCACAAAUAACAUUGUCAUCAAUCAUCAAAACCAUUAGAGAGAUAUGCCCUAACAACCAGUCUCCACCACCUGAUCAAGAACCAAAGAUCGAUCCACCUUCUUCAUUCUCUACUCUCAUUCCUCCCCUUGUACUAAUACUAAAAAGCUAAAAGAAAAAUGAAAUGAAAGUAUUCCAUGGAAGAAUGAAUUGGUGACAUCGGUAUUGCCCUUUAAGAAGAAAGAAAAUAAAUAACUAGAACAAACAAUCAAAAAUUUGCACAAAUUUUACACAAAAUAUGCAUUAUAUUAGAAUAUUCAAGAAUAAACAUAUAAUAGUAGAUUUUUUGCAAAAAUAAAUCACAAGUAGUAAUGAAUCAGUAGCACUCGUAUUACCUAUAAGGAAGAAGAAAAAUGAAAUGAAAGUGAAAUAAUCAAGAUAAUUAAGUUGUUUAAGGAAGAAUGAAUUAGUGGCAUUGACACUACCCUGUAAAAGGAAAGAAUCCGAAAUAAAAACUAAAACAAAACAAGAAANUGGUAAUAUGAAAGAAUAAGCAUAUGAUACUGUAAUUCUCACAAAAAGGAAAUUCAUAAGAAGGAAUGAAUUAGUGGUUUUGGCAUUACCAUAAAGGUUUUGGCAUUACCAUAAAAAUAAUUAAAAAUAUCAUAAUAAAAAAAGAAUUAAAACAUUGAAGUUUUAUAAGAAAAAAGGAAUUUGUGGCAUUGGGAUUACCCUUCAACAAUAAAUACAAUACAAUAAUAUAAAUCAAAAUAAUGGGGUUUUAUAAGAAAAAUGAAUUGGUGGCAUCGGUAUUAACUUUUAAGAAGAAAGAAAAUAAAAAGUAAAUCAAAGAUUUGACAAUAUUUGCACACGACAUACACAAAAGUUGGGCACUACAAAAUGCAAGAAUAAGCAUAUAAUAGUCACUUUUUUGCAAAAAGUUUACUACGAAUGAAUGAAUUAGUGGCAUUCGUAUUAUCCUAAUAGAAGAAAGAAAUGAAAUAAUAACUAAGUCAAAAUCAAAAUGAUGAAGUUUUAUAAGGAACAAUAAACUAGUGCCAUUUUUUGCGGGGUAAAGGGAGUUUAUUACUUAGGUAAAGAGUUACAAUCAAGAGGCCACAGGUCCUUAAUACAAGGUGGCACCGAGCCCAGCCAAACAGCAGUGGCACGCUCGGUACGACUAUACUUGGCCAACUGAUCCGCUACUCUAUUCUGAAGUCUAUUAAUUUUUUGAGGAACAAACUCCCUAUUACCUAAAAGAAACUUAAUCUCCAAGACUAUAUGUCCAUAUGCCGAGCGAAGGAGGGUGCCAUUAGUCAAGCAUGAUAUCGCCUCCGAUGAAUCCGACUGCACCACCACCAGGAGAUGGGAAUGUUGAAUAGCAAGGGCCAUGCCUUGCAUUAUCGCAUGUAGCUCUGCCUCAAGCGGGUCAUUGCAAUGGAAAAUGAAUUGAUAGGCCGCCAUGAGGAUCUCACCCUUGUCGUCUCUGAGGACCAUCCCGAUUGCAGCCGAGCCAUCCUCCUUGUGAAAAGAGCCAUCCACAGACAGUGCAACACUCCCCUGGUUCGGCGCCGGCCAGGGUACUUCAGGUGGUUUUGGAGCAUGGUAGGGUUUAAGAGCAGCAGAAAGAGACAUUUUGCCCUUGAUGGUGUCCUCUGACGAGAAGCACCCCGCAAGCAAUAUGGACUUGUAGUAGCUGUCCAGAUACUCUACCGUGGCCGGCACUAGUGGAACAUCUUUCCCAUGAGAUAGCUCGUUACGAAGGUGCCAGAUCCUCCAAAUCAGCAUGAGGAGCAUAUCCCUGACCUGCGCUGUGCAUUUCGCCAGAAGAGACGUGAGCCAUUCCUUCCCAUCAAAUAUUAGAAGCUCGUCACCUCGGAUCGGCCACCGACGCCUCAUGUCCACCCACAGGAUUCUCGCAUGGGUACAAACGACCAGAGCAUGGAAUGAGUCUUCCUCCUCCACCGCACAGAGCUGGCAGGUGGAACUGGUCGGUAUGUGUCUGCUAACUUUGCAUUUCUGGGUGGCCAACGUCCCUUUGAUGCAUCUCCAUGCGUGGAUCUUCAUUUUCUGGGGUACCGCAGCCUUCCAAACAAGAUUCCAAGCUGACCGGUUCCCAUCAGGGGUGGUAAUAGACGCACCAUUAGCAACAGCAGUAUUCAGAUCGCGCAUGGCGAGUUUGUAUGCACUUCUCACCGUAAAACAACCACUCUUCUCAGGGUACCAGGACAAGAAGUCAUCCCUCUGGCGCGGCGAUGUAAGUAUCUUCAGGAUGAGGUCACCGUCAAUGGGCCAGAAGAACUUGCCAAGCCGAUCCAGUCUCCACGCGCCAUUGCCAUCCAGGAAGUCCGACACCCAGUUGAAUCGGCAAUUUCCUUUGGGGGAUAUAGGGCGGAAGGAGUGCGGUCGAGGGAGCCAUGGGUCACGCCACGUGCGGAUCUUCGUGCCAGCGCCCACGCGCCAUAUGACUCCCUUCUUCAGCAACUCAAGACCGUGCAGAAUUCCUUUCCAAACUUCAGAGCCGGUGCCUGGGAACACAGUGUCCAGAAGUUGGCCUGAGGGGUAGUAUUUUGCUUUGAUCAAACGCGCACAUAAACUGUCAGGUCUGUCCAAUAAUAUCCAGGCUUUCUUAGCCAGCAGUGCCUAGUUGAACGCCCUCAUGUCUCUAAAACCCAAGCCCCCCAUGGAUUUUGGUAGUCUUAGCUUUUCCCAACUCAUCCAUGCCAUCUUCUUUUUUCCAUUCUCGACCUCCCCCCAGUAUUGUUGAAUCAUCCGUGUGAUAUCAUCACAGACGGAGGCAGGGAGUCUAAAUAUGCUCAUGACAUAUGCAGGGAUAGCCUGUGCCAUAGCUUUGAUCAGGAUCUCCUUGCUCCCAGAAGACAUGUAUUGCUCACUCCAGUCAACAAGGAUUUUCCUCAAACGCUCCUGGGUAAAUUCAAAGUUCCCCUUAUGCAUCCGCCCCUCGGGCACAGGUAAGCCCAAGUACUUGGAUUCGAAGGCCUCCUGUGAGAUAUCCAGGGUAAGUUUUAACUCUUGAAUCACCUGGGCUGAGCAUUGGCUCGAGAACAGAAUGGAACACUUCGACGGGUUAAUAAGUUGUCCAGUCGCCGCCGCAAACGUGUUCAACACUCCUUUCACCAGCAGUGCCUGUUGUUGCGAGGCUUGGAAGAACAAGAGCGAGUCAUCAGCAAAGAGGAGAUGUGUGAUCUCCGGUGCACCUCUGCAAAUUGUAAUUCCUUGGAGCGCGUCCUCCCUUGCAGCCUUGUUCAACAAUGCAGACAGAGCAUCAGCAACAAAUAAGAAGAGGAAGGGAGACAACGGAUCACCUUGGCGGAGUCCCCUCGAAGGAGAGAAGGCCUCCAUUAAUUUUCCAUUAAAUUUCACCGAGUACUUGACCGAAGACACACAUGCCAUAACACGGGAAAUCCAUAGCUCUGGAAAACCCCACUUAACCAGGGCUUUCUCCAAAAAGGACCAAUCCACCCGGUCAUAGGCUUUAGAUAAAUCUAGCUUGUAAGCACAUAGGUCGACUGCAUUAUUAUUCAAAGACUGAAUGUGAUGGAGGCACUCGAAUGCAAUUAUGGAGUUGUCAGUAAUCAGCCGCCCCGGAAUGAAGGCACUUUGGUUCUCUGAGAUAAGCUCUGUCAAGACAGGCCGAAGUCUAUUCACCAUACACUUCGAGACAAUCUUGUAAAUAACAUUGCACAAGCUGAUUGGCCGAAAAUCUUUUAGGUCCUUAGGAUGAGGUACCUUAGGGAUUAGCACAAUAGCUGUGUCAUUAACGCCUUCAGGCAUAAUACCAGACACAAAAAACUCACGGACUGCAGUAGUGAUCUCCGCUUUAAGCAAUGCCCAAUUACGUUGAAAGAACCUUGUUGGUAGCCCGUCACAACCUAGGGCUUUGAGAGGACCGAUCUGGAACAGGGCGUUGGAAAUUUCCUCAUCAGAGUACGGCUUGCAUAACGAAUCAUUCAUCUCAGCAUUGACCUUUGGAGCUAUACAGUCAAGGACCUCAUCCGGCGAGAGGGUUGGGUCCUUAGUGAAGAUCUCUUUGAAGUAGGAAUUAGCCAUCCUUUCCAUCUCAGUUGGGACGUUACACCAGGUCCCGUCCUGCUUCUGUAAGCGUUGAAUAAGGUUCUUUCGGGGCCGCCAUACAGCUCUGCGGUGCAAAUAUUUGGUGUUGCGUUCCCCCUCCUUCAACCAAGUGAUUCGUGACCUUUGAAGCCAAAGCAUUUCCUCCCUAUACAAUAGCUCAUCCAGUUGGUUCAUCUUGGAUCGUAUCUCAGUACGGUCCGAGCCCAGUCUCUGCAGCUCCUCCGGUUGCGAACGGAGCUUUUCAAUUUCCUUCAACACAUUUCCAAAUUUUACCUUGCUCCAUUCCUUCAUAUCCUUCAGGGUUUCCUGCAGCGAUCGGGCUACCGAACCCAGGCCUCCCAUAGGCUUCCUUUUGGCCCAAGCACCGGCGAUCACAUCCGGUAAGGAUGGGUCUCGCUCCCACAUAAUUUCAUAACGUGGACAUGGCGCCCGCCUCCGCUGGUCCUGCGACCCCUACAUCAUAACCACCACAGGGCAAUGAUCAGAGCAUGAGGUGGCCAAGUGGCGGGCUUUUGCAAACGGGAACAAAUCCUUCCAAGCUUCAUCUGCACAAGCGCGGUCCAAGCGAACCUGUACAUUACGGGGGGGGGGGGUCCUGACCAUUGUUGUAAGUGUACGGAAUGCCAGAGAAGCCAAGGUCUCCCAGCUCACAGACCUCCAGGCAAUCCCUAAAUGCCACCAUUUGUGAUUCUGAUCGCAUGGACGUCGAGAGAUGCUCGUGCUGCCAUAGGGCCUCGUUGAAGUCACCACAGACCAUCCACGACAGACUUGAGGAUGCCCUGAGUCUGCACAGGUGCUCCCACAUGCGAUAACGAUUCUCCACUCUAGGUUCACCAUAUACAAACGUAGCCCGCCAAGAUGAACCUGAGCCAGCAUCAACCACAUUAACGUCAAUAAAGCGAUUACAUGAGUCUAGGACAGUCACAGAGAGAGACUCAUCCCAGAAUAGUGCCAAGCCACCACUUCUACCAUCACUAUCCACUCCAUGAAAACCUUUCACACCAAGUCUCCAACGCAGCUUUUCAAUUUUACCUGGGAGUUGCCUAGUUUCACACAGGAAAAUAAGCUUGGGUUAUUGGCUUUUGAGAGGGCCAAAACCUCACGAACUGUCCGGCGGUCCCCCCCCCCCGGCAGUUCCAGAAGAGGGUAUUCAUUGUGUCCGGUGGUCUCCCUCCCGGGAAGCCGCCGAUACAUCAUUUGUGUCGUGGUUCAAACUGAGUUUAACACGUUUGCUGCUAGAAGUACUGCUAGACGGCGACGCCUUCUCCUCCACCUCCGGGUCAUUGCCAUCAGUGAUAGCCAGGAUCACUUUCGAGUUCCUAGCGGUAUCGAGAAUCUGAUCACCGGCAUCCAUAUUGAGCCUCUUCCUGGCGUCUUUAUCAACCUCCAUGCUCACCCCCUGAUAUUUCACCGGGCUCGAGGCCGUAUCCAGGAUCUCGGGGUCCACUUCUGAAAGUGCAGUCAUGCCCUUAAUCAUGUUUUGGUGUUGCUGACAACACACAUAUAGAUAAUUAAUCACUAACCCUUUUUAAGCUACUGUGAAUGAUCAUGUGUUGAUAAGGACAACCUCAUGUGCUAACAAGGACAAGAUCAAGAUAAGCAUUCCUGAAUCAAGAUAAGCAUUCCUGAGCACUACAUGCUUGAUCCUUGUGGAUGUUCACAUGGUGGACAAAUGAAGAUAAAUAUAUAAGCUAGGCUUUCCACAUUGUGUAUGGGAGAGCUACUUGAAGACUUCAUCAUGUGUUGCUUUCAACAUUGAGCCAAGAAGAAACAACAACAUCAAGCUCAAGUGAAAGGGCUAACUCAAGGUAUCAGUUACUUUAAUGUUAGCGGUGCGGAGUGAUGAUCAGCGAAUAAAAGUACACACUCAAGAUGGAUCAUCGGUAUCCCUUUUACAAUUCUUAACUCUUUAGGGAUCCUGCACUAUUAAGAGGGGAUCACAGGUUUUUGUGAUCAACUUGCUCAAACUAGAUAUUCACUAUCCUACUCAAUACCACAUAUUCUCUACUCUGCUCCUAUCUCAGAACAGGUCUAUUGCCUGGGACUUCCGGCUCCCUCCGGACGGCCGUGGGCCGGACGACCGGCAGGCUUCGGAAAUCCGGAGCCCUCCACCAGAAGAAAUUGAGUUCUAUAACUCGGAUUUCCGGCUCCCUCCGGACAUCCGAGCGCCGGACGUCCGACCAGCUUCGGAAAUCCGGACCCCUGCACCAUAACAACAUAAGCUCUAUAACUCGGAUUUCCGGCUCCCUCCGGACGUCCGAGGCCCGGACGUCCGUCCCCUUUCGGAAAUCCGGAACCUCCCAACAGAAGAAGUUGAGUCGAAUAACUCGGAGUUCCGGUCUUCUCCGGACGUACGGUCGCUGUUCAUUUCACAGGGGUUCCAGUCAUAUCUACAGCCCUCGGACAUACGACCCCUGUCGGAUGNNNNNNNNNNNNNNNNNNNNNNNNNNNNNNNNNNNNNNNNNNNNNNNNNNNNNNNNNNNNNNNNNNNNNNNNNNNNNNNNNNNNNNNNNNNNNNNNNNNNCGGGACUCCGAACAACAUUCGGUAACCAACCAUAUAACUCAAAUACGCAUAAAACAACGUCGAACCUUAAAUGUGCAGACCCUGCGGGUUCGAGAACUAUGUAGACAUGAUUCGAGAGACUCCUCGGUCAAUAUCCAAUAGCGGGACCUGGAUGCCCAUAUUGGAUCCUACAUAUUCUACGAAGAUCUUAUCGUUUGAACCUCAGUGCCAAGGAUUCGUAUAAUCCCGUAUGUCAUUCCCUUUGUCCUUCGGUAUGUUACUUGCCCGAGAUUCGAUCGUCAGUAUCCGCAUACCUAUUUCAAUCUCGUUUACCGGCAAGUCUCUUUACUCGUUCUGUAAUACAAGAUCCCGCAACUUACACUAAGUUACNUUGUGUGUGAUGUUGUAUUACCGAGUGGGCCCCGAGAUACCUCUCCGUCACACGGAGUGACAAACCCCAGUUUCGAUCUAUACUAACUCAACGAACACCUUCGGAGAUACCUGUAGAGCAUAUUUAUAGUCACCCAGUUACGUUGCGACGUUUGAUACACACAAAGCAUUCCUCCGGUGUCCGUGAGUUAUANNNNNNNNNNNNNNNNNNNNNNNNNNNNNNNNNNNNNNNNNNNNNNNNNNNNNNNNNNNNNNNNNNNNNNNNNNNNNNNNNNNNNNNNNNNNNNNNNNNNGGUAAUUAGGUAUUAUUAAUAUGAUUAAGAGUAAAUAGAUAAAUUAAGAAUUAUGUUAAUUAAGAUAGAUAAAUUAGCCUAAACAGUAUGACAUAUGGGUUCCACCCCACUAAUUGACUUGAUUAAAUAUUAAUUAACCCUAAUAACAAUUGUGUCUAUGACGUAUGGGACCCACUCGUCAUUUUGACAAGUCAACGGGGCUGUUGACUGCUGAUGUCAUUUCUAAUUAUCUAAUAUAAUAAAUUAUGUUUAAUUUUUUUGAAUAUUGAUUAAAUAUUUGAAAAUUAAUNNNNNNNNNNNNNNNNNNNAAAUAAUUCGUAGCUCAGAUGGAAUUUUUUUAACAUGAAAGUUGAUGAGCAAAACGAUACGAACCGGGAUACACUAUCCGCUCGUCUGUCACGUGUUCCUAGCAUAGUAAACAUGGAAUUUUUCCAUCGUUUUCCGUCUCACCGGUAGUAGCCACAUACCCGGGAAAUAUCCUCUGAUAUUCUCCUGACCCGUCUAUAACGAAUAGCAUUGCAUUAGCUCAUGUGGAGCCUGCAUUUUGCCAUGUCAUGCUUAGUGUUGCAUAUGUGCUUUGUAUUUAUUGUUUCUUCCCCCUCUUCUUACCGUAGACCCCGAGAAUGUCGUUGUUGCCCAAUACGACUACCCUCGUGACGACCAACCCUUUGCCGCAGAGUAACAAGGCAAGCAAACCCCCUUCAUCAUUCAUAUAACACCUAUUCUUUCUCCCUCAUGCUUGCAUUAGAAUUUUGCUACUGUUGUAUUUAGCUCCUAUAUCUUAUGCAUAGCCUAUUUUUGAUGAACUGCUACUUUCAAUACAGAACUUUAAACUGCUUAGUAUUGGUGGCUCAGUCAUUCCCUCUCACCCCUUAGUCGAGUUGCCCCACUUUAUUGUCGAGUCUCGAUCCCUGAUCGACGAGCCAAGAUCUGACACAACACUUACACCCCCCGUAGUUUUACGAUGCUACAGAGCUACUAUCGGGUACCGAGGGUGACACCUCGCGAAGUACUCAUGAUGAUAUCUUUGUAGUGCAGCUAGUCGGUCGUGGUUAUCGAGGGUGAUUCCUCCUUCACAUUCCCGACGAUGACUCUGUCGUGCAACCCCUCAAGUGUGAGACCCUCGAGGGUGAUUCCUCUAAGUCCACCUUGACGGUUACAUCAUUCGGAAUCCAAUGAGGGUGAUACCUCGGAUCCCCCUGAUGUUACAACCACACAAUUACUUGACCUUGUUACUAGGAUUUUGAUGAAUAGAUGUUAGGUGGAUGGAUGCCUGGGUGGAUGUGUCGAUGAGUUAAUUAAAAUGUUAAUGGAUUUAGGUAUUUGAUCUCGGAUGGUUAGAGACCUUUUCGCACUAACCGGCUACGUGGGAGAAGUUAUGGGUACUCGACGUCGUGGUAACAACCGAAGCUCUUCAGACGCCAGCAAUGGAGCGACGCGUGCCCGAGUGGUCCGGAUAUUCAUCGCGCUUGUUAUAAGGGGUGCUAGUACUGACCUCGGCCGCCCACGCAUCAUGCAGGAGUGCAAAGGGUGAUGGGCCCAUGACCCCUGCGUGCUUAGGAUUUAGACCGGCGGGCUGGCCUCUCUGUUGAGUCUAGGUGGGGUUGCGACGUAUCGAUAUUUCGAGGCAGGCAUGACCCAGAAAAGUGUGUCCGGCCAGAGUGUUAUCGAGCGUGACGGGAAAUUUGGUGCACCCCUGCAGGGAUGAAAAUUAACUAUUCGGAUAGCCGUGUCCACGGUUACAGGACGACUUGGAGUUGUGCUCUGAUCUUAUACAACAACAAUUGUUACUUAAUUGAAAUGUUUGCUCCGGGAUUGCUUCCUCGCAGGGAGUCGAGGAAGAAUCUCUGGGCGUGACCUCAUAUUAAUAUUGUUGCGACAAUAUGACUAUUAUUUGUGUUACCCCUGUUGUACUCUCGUCUAUUGCUGCAAGACCCCCUGAAGAUGCUAGUCUUCGAUAAGAGUAGGCCUUCCCUCUCUUUCUCGCAUUGCUGCAGUCAGUUCACAUUCAAACCCCUUACUUUGAUACUGAUGCAUACUUAGCAUAGUUCUGAUGUCAGUCUUGCGAGUACUUUGGAUGAGUACUCACCGUUGCUUUGCUCCCCCUUUUCCCCUUGAUCUGUUGCUGCGACCAAAUGAUGGAGCCUAGGAGAUGGAGUAUCCUGCCGCCGACGACUGCUACCCCGACGGUGCCUACUACUACGUGGAGGCCGCUAAAGACCAGGUAUAGUUUAGGAGGUUCCCAGACAGGAGGCCUCGCCUCAUUCGAUCGUUGUAUCUUUUGUGCUAGUCUUCUCUAAGGCACCCCAUGUUUAAUGUUUGUACUCGGAUAUUUGUUGCUUCCGCUGACUCGUGUGUUUAUCGAGCUUCUGUAUUCUAGCCCUCGAGGCCCCUGGUUUGUAAUAAGAAGCUUGUAUGUUUUAUUUGUGUCUAGAGUUGUGUUGUGAUAUCUUCUCGUGAGUCCUUGAGCUUCGUCGUACGCAUUUGCGUGUAUGAUUAGCGUACAAUCAAAUCAAGGGCAUCAUAGAGUUCAUAGGAAAGCCAAUACUAUUAAAAGGUGGUGAGGUAG
rnacentral:lncRNA from 1 species